CAGCAGCCACGGUAAUACGGAGGGUGCAAGCGUUAAUCGGAAUUACUGGGCGUAAUGCGCACGCAGGCGGUUUGUUAAGUCAGAUGUGAAAUCCCCGAGCUUAACUUGGGAACUGCAUUUGAAACUGGCAAGCUAGAGUCUUGUAGAGGGGGGUAGAAUUCCAGGUGUAGCGGUGAAAUGCGUAGAGAUCUGGAGGAAUACCGGUGGCGAAGGCGGCCCCCUGGACAAAGACUGACGCUCAGGUGCGAAAGCGUAGGGAGCAAACAGGAUUAGAUACCCCGGUAGUCCCUGUCUCUUAUAC
rnacentral:rRNA from 1 species